UACGUAGGGUGCAAGCGUUGUCCGGAAUUAUUGGGCGUAAAGAGCUCGUAGGCGGUCUGUCGCGUCGGAUGUGAAAACCCAGGGCUCAACCCUGGGCCUGCAUUCGAUACGGGCAGACUAGAGUUCGGUAGGGGAGACUGGAAUUCCUGGUGUAGCGGUGAAAUGCGUAGAUAUCAGGAGGAACACCGGUGGCGAAGGCGGUUCUCUGGGCAUGUCCUGACGCUGAGGAGCGAAAGUGUGGGGAGCGAACAGG
rnacentral:rRNA from 1 species